rnacentral:rRNA from 1 species
AGAGUUUGAUCCUGGCUCAGGAUGAACGCUGGCGGCGUGCUUAACACAUGCAAGUCGAACGAAGCACUUUAUUUGAUUUCCUUCGGGACUGAUUAUUUUGUGACUGAGUGGCGGACGGGUGAGUAACGCGUGGGUAACCUGCCUUGUACAGGGGGAUAACAGUUGGAAACGGCUGCUAAUACCGCAUAAGCGCACAGCAUCGCAUGAUGCAGUGUGAAAAACUCCGGUGGUAUAAGAUGGACCCGCGUUGGAUUAGCUAGUUGGUGAGGUAACGGCCCACCAAGGCGACGAUCCAUAGCCGACCUGAGAGGGUGACCGGCCACAUUGGGACUGAGACACGGCCCAAACUCCUACGGGAGGCAGCAGUGGGGAAUAUUGCACAAUGGGCGAAAGCCUGAUGCAGCGACGCCGCGUGAGCGAAGAAGUAUUUCGGUAUGUAAAGCUCUAUCAGCAGGGAAGAUAAUGACGGUACCUGACUAAGAAGCACCGGCUAAAUACGUGCCAGCAGCCGCGGUAAUACGUAUGGUGCAAGCGUUAUCCGGAUUUACUGGGUGUAAAGGGAGCGUAGACGGAGAGGCAAGUCUGAUGUGAAAACCCGGGGCUCAACCCCGGGACUGCAUUGGAAACUGUUUUUCUAGAGUGUCGGAGAGGUAAGCGGAAUUCCUAGUGUAGCGGUGAAAUGCGUAGAUAUUAGGAGGAACACCAGUGGCGAAGGCGGCUUACUGGACGAUGACUGACGUUGAGGCUCGAAAGCGUGGGGAGCAAACAGGAUUAGAUACCCUGGUAUUCCACGCCGUAAACGAUGAUGGCUAACCGCCGGCGACACACUGUCGGUGGCCAAGCGAAAGCGAUAAGCCAUCCACCUGGGGAGUACGUCGGCAACGAUGAAACUCAAAGGAAUUGACGGGGGCCCGCACAAGCGGAGGAACAUGUGGUUUAAUUCGAUGAUACGCGAGGAACCUUACCCGGGCUCGAACGGCACCUGGAUCGCCCAGAGAUGGGCGAGUCUUCGGACAGGUGUCGAGGUGCUGCAUGGUUGUCGUCAGCUCGUGCCGUGAGGUGUCGGCUCAAGUGCCAUAACGAGCGCAACCCCUGCCGCCAGUUGCCAUCAGGUGAUGCUGGGCACUCUGGCGGGACUGCCACCGCAAGGUGUGAGGAGGGGGGGGAUGACGUCAAAUCAGCACGGCCCUUACGUCCGGGGCGACACACGUGUUACAAUGGCGGCCACAGAGGGAAGCUACCCCGCGAGGGGAUGCGGAUCUCGAAAAGCCGUCCCAGUUCGGACUGGAGUCUGCAACCCGACUCCACGAAGUUGGAUUCGCUAGUAAUCGCGCAUCAGCCAUGGCGCGGUGAAUACGUUCCCGGGCCUUGUACACACCGCCCGUCAAGCCAUGGAAGCCGCGGGCGCCUGAAGUCCGUGACCGUAAGGAGCGGCCUAGGGCGAAAGUGGUAACUGGGGCUAAGUCGUAACAAGGUA